rnacentral:rRNA from 1 species
AAUAUUGGACAAUGGGCGAAAGCCUGAUCCAGCCAUGCCGCGUGUGUGAAGAAGGUCUUCGGAUUGUAAAGCACUUUACGUUGGGAGGAGGGGUUGUAGGUUAAUACUCUGCAGUCUUGACGUUACCAACAGAAUAAGCACCGGCUAACUCCGUGCCAGCAGCCGCGGUAAUACGAAGGGUGCAAGCGUUAAUCGGAAUUACUGGGCGUAAAGCGCGACGAGGAGGUUUGUCAAGUUGGAAGUAAAAGCCGCGAGCUCAACCUGGGAACUGCUUUCAAAACUGGCAAGCUAGAGUAUGGCAGAGGGUGGUGGAAUUUCCUGUGUAGCGGUGAAAUGCGUAGAUAUAAGAAGGAACAUCAGUGGCGAAGGCGACCACCUGGGCUAAUACUGACAAUGAGGUGCGAAAGCGUGGGGAGCAAACAGG